AAGUGAAAUAUAUUGUUUGAGUACUCGUUACAGCAUUAAAUCUCAAUGCACAGCACAUUAAAGACAGAGAUCCCACAUGAGGAGUAAGUGCACAGUGACUCCUGUUGUUGACUUUACCAAUUGACACUCCUGUCUAUGGCAUCAGUAAUCUCCCUAUGCUCCAGUCAUGAGUUUCCAAGGCUAUGGAAGCCCUCUGAGUUCUGUGAGGCUGGGCAGUCACAGCAGCCACAGCGGCCAAUCAGCUCCAAGUUUCCGAGGGGAAAUGACUGACACCACAUAAUGCACUGUUUUGCUGAGCUACAAUGUCAGGUAGCUAGCUUAUACAUGUAUUUUGACUUAGGAUAUCUUCAGUUUCAGAUGUGUUUAUUGGAACAUAAUUCUAUUGUAUGUGGAGGAGCAUCAACAUAUGUACUGGGAUCAUGAUGAAAAGAGAAUGACAGGUCUGAUAUGAAGAGGACAGAAUGACUAAGAACUGCAAUAUAAGGGGAACAAGAUGAGAGCAACUGAUAAUGUAGACACAAGCCACAUAUCCUGCAUUGGACUGACUGGUCCAAGAAUGGGAUGGGCUGAUCUUUCAAGUUACAGAAGCUGGAGUUCUGCACACCAAACCUUACUUUAUAUUCUGAUUAAAUUUUCUUUCAUAUAUUUCAACAAUUAAGCCAACUCAAUAGAUCUACCUGAAGAAUUUUUUUUAAAGAUUUAUUUUAUUUAUUUGAAAGACAGAGUUACAUAGUGAGGUAGAGCCAGAGCCAGAGUGAGAGCGAGAGCGAGAGCGAGAGAGAUCUUCCAUCCACUUAUUCACUCCUCAAAUGACUGCAACGGCCAGAGCUGAGCUGAUCUGAAGCCAGGAGCCAGGAGCUUCUUCUGGGUCUUUCAUGUGGGUGUAGCAGUCAAAGGACAUGGGCCAUCUUCUACUGCUUUCCCAGGCAAUAGCAGAGAACGGAAUCAGAAGUGGAGCAGCUGGGACUUGAAUGGCGCCCAUAUGGGAUUCCAGCACUGCAGGCCGCGGCUUUAACCUGCUGCUCCACAGCACUGGCCCCUGCCUGAAAAAUUUUGUAAUGGCUGAGUUGUCUGUAGUCACAUGAUUUUCCUUGAUUCAAAAAAAAAUUGAAGAUCCCCAAAAUUUUAAGGCAAUUUUCUGCCCUAAGGGAUACUAGAAAGUUAUUUUCAUGAAUAAUUGGGGAGAAUCAGACCAGCUAUAUGUUGGCAGGUGCUUAGCAUUCUGGACAGUCAGAGAACAGCCAUGUUGGCCUAUGGGGAACCAACUGAAUAAUGUUCCAAAAUGUGAAUGCUUUUAUCUACUCACCAACUAUAAGACAAUUGGAUGGUUUCUAGUUUGUGGCAAUUCUGCAGAAUGCUGUUAUGUACAAUUGUGUAUAGGUGUUUGGGUGAACAUAAAUUUUAAUUUCUCUGGAGUAAAUACUUAAAAGUGUGAUUAUUGGGUUAUGUGGUUAAAUGUAUGUUUAACUUUGUAAGAAACUGCCAAAUUGUUUUCCUUUUUUAAAAAUAUCAUUUCUUUAUUUGAAAGACAGAAUUAGAGAGAGGAGAGGUAGAGGGAGAGAGAGACAUACAGAGAGAGACAGAGAGAAUCAAUCUUCCCUCUGCUGGUUCACUCUCCAAAUGGCUGCAACAGCUGGGACUGGGCCAGGCCAAAGCUGGGAUCCAGGAGCCUCAUCUAGACCUCCCAUGGGGAAACAGGGGACUAAGCACUUUGACCAUCCUCCCAUGCCCUCCCAGGCUGGGAAGCCUGGUUUGGGAGUAGAGCAGCUAGGAUACGAACUAGUGCCCAUAUGGGAUGCUGGCACUACAGGUGGUGGCUCAACCCAUUGUACUAUAGCACCAGCCCCAGAAAUUGUUUUCUAGAAUAGCUGAAUUAUUUUUGCAGCCUCACUAGCAAUGUACAGGGGUCCUGCUGGUCUGUAUCUUUGCCACCACUUGGUAUGAAAUGAUAGCCUCCUAGUAGAUGGGUAAUUGUAUUUAACUUUGGGCAUAAUAUGAAUCUCCCUUCCCUUUAAUGCUGCUCAAUUUGAAUUUUUCUCCUGACUAAUAAAGUUAAGCUUCUUCAGAAAUGACUUUUCUCAUGUGUACAUCCUUUUUUGGUGGAAUGUGUGUUCAAAUCUCUUUCCUGAGCAUCCCUUGAGUCUUGAAAUUCUUGUCUGGUCCACUUGUUUUCAUUAACAUUUCAGAAUAUGCUUACAGUUCCUUUAUGUGCUUAACCCAGGGUUUAUUUUUUUUAAAGAUUUAUUUAUUUAUUUGAAAGGCAGAAUUACAGAGAGGCAGAGGCAGAGAGUGAGAGAGAGAGGUCUUCCAUCUGCUGGUUCACCCCACGGAUGGCCAUAACAGCUGGAGCUGUGCUUAUUAGAAACCAGGAGCCAGGAGCUUCUUCCUGAUCUCCUAUGUGGGUGCAGGGGCCUAAGCACUUGGGUCAUCUUCUGCUGCUUUUCCAGGCCAUAGCAGAGAGCUGGAUUGGAAGUGGAGCAGCCAGAACUCGAACCGGCACCCAUAUGGGAUGUCUGCACUGCAGGCAACGGCUUUACCUGCUACGCCACAGUGCUGGCCCCAACCAGGGGUUUUAAUUGUAAUUAGUUGAAUGUGUUUAUUUCAUCUGGCCCAUAACCAGACAUUCUAAACCUCUUUAAAUGAUUCUCUCUACUUGCUGAUCUAAUUUCUUUUCCACUCUUUGAUCUACACCAAGCUGUGGUUGUUCUCAUUAUCCUAUAUUUCAUAUCUCACCAAGGUUCCCAAUGCCUUUCAUAUUGUUAAAUACAACUGCAUUUUAUUUAACUUUUUAGUCCAUGUGACAUCUUUGUCCUUGAAAUACUCUCAUCUCUUGAUUUUCAUGAUACAUUAAUCUUAGAUUUUUUUUUCUUACUUACAUGCUGAUCCUCCUUUGUUUCCUUUGAAGGAUCAGAAUAUUUUUCCUAGUUAUUAAUUAUUGGAAUUUUAGACUUGUUAAUAGACAUUCAUUCUUUUAUUCUUGGUUCCCUCCCUGAGUAAUUUCAUCUGUGCUUUCAGGCUUCAAUAGCUGUCCAUAUGCAGAUGGCUUAUAAACUUAUCACAUCAGCUCAGAUUUCUUCUCUGAGCUCUAGAGAUUAACAUCCAUCUGCCCCCUUGAUGUCUCAAUUUUAAAUUAGACAAAGGGAUGAUUCCAUGAUCACUCAUGUACAGUCACAUCAUUCUCAGCUUCUUUUGUCUAUCUUACUCUUUACUUUUUAAUACCAUUUAUUUCAUUUUUCAAUAUCCAAUAUUUCACAAUUGAUUUCCCUUCUUAAAUAACUCUAAAGUAUGUUAGCAUCUCUUUACUUUCACUGUCAUGAUCCUAGUCUAAGCCAUCAUCAUCUUUUCACAAAUAUUACCACAACCACCUUUUAUUUGAUUGCCCCAUUUUCCAUACUUGUCCUCCAAUGAGAAUGAAGGCAUUAGGAGAGCAGUGUGAUCAUGUCAACCUGGAGACUUCAAAGCAUUUUGUUUUCUACUAAUCUUUAUCUUUAACCACAAAGUCUUGUCUGUUCUGACCUUUGCCUAACACUCACUCAUGCCUUCAUUCAAUAAACAUUGAGUCCCUCCUAAGUGUAAAGAAGUUGCUGGGCAUACACUUAUAGUAAACAGACGAAAUAUUUGUCUUCAUGGAGCUUCUACUCUAGUGGGAAGAAAUGCACAGAAGCAAAUGGUAUACCAUUUGGUAAGGAGCAAAAAUAUGCAAAAAAUAUCAGUGCAAGGGGACGGAGAUUUAUGAGGAAGGUGAUAUGUUAGUAGGGUUUUUGGGGAGAACUUCACUGAGAUGGUGACUUUUGAGCUGAGACCUGGAAAGAAUGAAUGAGUAAUUCAUGUUAAAGUCUGGGGAAGAGCAUUUCAGGCUUAGAGAACAGCAAGUGUGUGCUUGGGUGUUGAAAAGUCAUGGUGAAAGCUAGUGAGGUCCUGAGACAUGAGAUGGGGAAAUAUAGUGUAGGUCCAUUUGGAUAAAGCCUUGUAAGCCAUGAUAAAAUUGUAUUUUUUACAUCCAUUGAGAAGACAUGAUUGUAAAUUAAGUGAAAACAUGUCUCUUCUCCAGGCCAUCUUUGUACAAGAAUUUCCUGUUUGACAAGCCAAGGCUUCCUUUAGAGGUGUCUGAAGCCUGGGGCUUCCCUUAUUGUAUCCUCCUUCCUUCUUCAUCUUCUUUCAGGUAUUGGACCUGUAUCACGAUCUGAAGCUAUUGCCUGCCUCCCUCUCUUCCCUCUCACCCCCAGAGUUCCCAGCAGUUUUGACCCUUCUGCUUGGAGUAGCUUCCUGACAUAAUCACCAAACACCAAGUCUUCCAAAGCAAAACAUUUUAUUCUUUCCUUUCACUCUUCUCUUAAUGCUAAAUUUAAUUAGUUAUUAAAUCCUGUCAACUUUGAUAGGAAAAUCUUUCCUCUAACUCUGUGAUUCUCAAAGUGAUUUUUGCUAUAUCUUUAGGGAUUUAAAUUUCAAUAUAUUUUUGAAAUUUAUAUUUUACAGCUUGAUAUAAAUUUAUAACUAAGCAUCAUAUAAUUUCAAUAUCCAUUUCUAUCACAAGACAAAAAAGUCAUAUCAGUGAUUGAAAGAGAAAAAAUAAAACCUGCUAAGAAAAUGUGUUUUACUCCCAAAAGGAGUAUAAGAAGAUUCUUAAGGAUACAGGAAUAACAAAUCCAAGAAGCCAUGCCCUAUAGAACUGGGAGAAAGUGAACAAGAAAGGAACUAUGUCCUUAGAAGAACCCAGACAGGGUCAAGAGUGAGACCUCAUUGAAGAUAGCGUGAUGGCCACAAAAACAUGCAGACUGCAAGCAACAAAGGAACCUGUGGUGGGCACAGAAGGAAGCUGGCUCAUAGCAAUGUUCCUCUGGGUGGCUAAGAAACUUGCUGAAAAGUGGGAGUGGAGCCAAGCUGCUCUGCACGCAGUCUGCUGGGUGGUUGGAGUUGGAGAAAACACAUAAAAAAUAGCCCAUAAUUGCUGCAUGAGGGCUGUUGGUGAGUUCUGCUGGCCUUCUAAUGCCUGAUACAGUGGCAGCUGCUCCUGAAAUAGCCCCUAGGAACCAGGGGCGAAAAGCCCUUCUUCUUGCUCUGCUCAGUGUUCCUCCAUGACCUCGAUUACUGAAACCUAACAUAGGAGGCUGACAUUGGGGCACAGUGGCUUAAGCAGUCAACUGAGAUGCCAACAUUCCAUAUGGGUGCCAGUUCAGUUCCUGGCUGCUUCACUUCCAAUCCAGCUCUCUGCUAAUGUGCCUGGAAAGCCGCAGAAGAUGGCUCAUGUCUUAGGGCCCCUGAACCCACAUGGGUGAUUUGUGCAGAGUUCCAUGCUCCUGGCUUUGACUUGGCCCAGCCCUGGGCAUUGUGGCCACUUGAGGAGUAGGCAUAGAGACAAAGAAGAACAGAGAGAAGACGAAGACAAAGAUGAAGAAGAAGAAGAAGAGGAGGAGGAGGAGGAGGAAGAGGAAGAGAAAGGUCUCCCACAUGGUUGGCAGGAACUCCAUUACCAGAACCACCACUGCCGUACCCAAGGAUCUGCAUUAGCAAGAAGCUGGAUUCAAGAACAGAGCCAAGCAUGGAACCCAGAUACUAUGAUGCAGGGUCAGCCUUGGAAAGGAGUACAUCACUUCUCCCACAUUUCUUCACCCAGAACUUGUCAUAAGGUCUGUACCUUGAGAUACUUCAAUAAAUCUAGAAGUAUUUUAUGAGAUCCUGCAACAAAAGCUGGGCAUAAGUCAAUUUGCAGUUGAGUAUGUGCACCAAAAUGCUGAAAAUGGUAUGACCAUUUACUUUCCUCCUUUGUCUCCUCUCAAUCCACACUGAAUCCACUUAUUAACAGAGAUAGCUGAACCCUCUUCUCUUCCUUUCUGUCAUUGUCCCUUGGUCAUCUAACCCUCUGCCUUCCUCACAGUAUUAUUUCUUCUUCCUUCAGCCUCUACCCUAACUAAAGUCAUGUGCUUCCAAGCAGCUAUCCCCGAGGGAAGGUGUUAAAAGGGAUGGAUGAUGGAUAGUACUGGGUUUUUCUUCUCAUCUGCUGAGUUGAAGAAGAUUCCUUUGAGUCCUAUCCUCACAAUGAAAUGCUCAAAAAAUUCAACUAGUAGGAUUGACAGCUUUUGCCAUAACUCCAAUACAUUACUAUACUCACAAAACUGAAGUGACUUCCUUACUUUUCUCUACUUUCCAAACCAUUUUAUUCUAGAGUGAUAGGAGGCAGGGACCCAGAAAAGUGGAAGGUGAUAUACAUCAUGCCCAGGAGGUGGUAAUAUGAGUAAUAUCAGUACAAAGACGUCAUGUCAUAUUAUUAAACUUCAGAGAGAUGCAGAGUUUUAAAAUAUUCUAUUUUUUCAAAUAACAGAGACAUUAGCAUUUCUUUCAGUCAUUUUUGAUUCAAAUACCAUUCAAGGGAACUCUAGACUCAAACAAAAUGUUCAUAAUGUAAGUCAGGGUCUAUUGCUCAAGCCAAUUAUUAAACCAUUGCCAUAAUAGUCCAGAAGUUAUUAUUAGGCUACUAUUCAUUGUCCACAAUUGCUAUGAACUUGUAGUAACAGCAUCUUAAUUUUUGAUUUUCUGUUUUCUCCUGAACUGUCAAUCAAUGUUCAGAGAAAUUAAUAUAAAUGAAAGCUCUAGAGCAUGCUGGUGAUCCAUCAAUAUUAGUUCACUUCUUUCAUGAUAUUAGAGUGUUUAAUUUCUCUUUCUAGUUUGUUGUUUUCUGCUUCCAAUUUUCCCCAGACUGGUAAAAUAUAUAGUUUCCAAUCAAUUGCAAUUUGUUCAAAAAACAAAAGCCAAUGAGGAGAGAUCAAUAAAUUUGACUGAAUUGAAAUUUAAAAUAUUCUAUUAUUCUAACAUUCUGAUAAUCACAAUAAAGUUGAAAAUCAAAAAUAAGACUCUGAAGAGUGUUGGCAGCCUAUCUAACAAGGGAUUAUAAAAAAUUUUGAAGGCGGAGCCAAGAUGGUGGAAUAGUGAGGGUGCACACCGAUAGUCCGGGAAAAGAUAGUUUAAUAAGAGUGGAGUUACGGUAGCCUCAGGAAAAGGAUCAGGAAAAAUUUGCAGAGGAAACUCUUCCAGAUCUAGUGGAUGUGACAUGGAGGACCUACAGGGAGAGCAAGGUCGCCCACGGCAUGGAAGCCGAGCCAUGGAAGCUGAGCCACAGAAUCUGUGCACCAGUGCUGGAAGGGGAGGUGAGACAAAGACCUCGGUAACCUGAGACAUUGGCGGGGAAAGGCAGAAAGAGCCUACAGAGAACGAGGCCUGAAACCCCACUGGGGAGUUCACCAGGCUGACUGGAGGAGAGAAAAAAAAAUAAGGGGAACCCGCAUGGACAUUAGCCUCUCUCCCCACUCACUUUACAAAGCCGAGCAAGACAAAGGGCAGGCACCAUUUUAUGUAUGUAAAGCUGUGCGCACCAUUUUGCGUAUGUAAAGCGGCGCCCCUCAUUAGCCGAGCAGAAAAACCUGACUCUGGUGGGGAGAAAUAACAGGAGGUUAACACCUAGUGAAAUUGUGGAGCUUAUGAACUGAGCCUGUGAAAAUCUGAGGGGGGGGAGGCGAAUGAACUCACCAAGUACACAAACUCGGUAACCUGGGCAACCCGGUGAGAGACUGCAGAGAAAUUUGAGACCACACUGAGGGCUGUAUAAACUCUUUGUGUGGUCUCAGCGGUAAGCAGAUGAAUACCCACAGGGGCUAGAUUUCAUACAUCAACUACUCUCAAUUCCACUCAGUUGUGUGGAAUUACUUCCCAACUGAGUCAAAAAAAAAAAAAAAAAAAAGAGAGAGAGAGAGAGUGAGCCAGUGAGAGAGCAAUCUGUGUGAGUCACAUUUGGCACACCCUUAACCCUGAAGAACCAAACAAAGCUCUCUGGACAUACCCAUCACAGCCUCUAAGGAUCCAUCAAAAGCAGACAGUACACUUAAUUUAGAGUCACAGUAUAAUGAGAAAAAACACCACACCAAAGAAACCAAAGAAUAUCUCCAAUAUGCCAAACAACAAACGCAAAAACCGAGGUAACAAGAACAAGGAAGACACUAUGACGCCCCCAAAUGAAAUAGACACCCCAAUUCAAGAUUACGAAGAUGAUGAGAUAGAAGAAAUGCAAGAAGCAGAUCUCAAAAAAUUGAUAAGAGCAUUAAGAAGUUCUCAAAAACAAAUUCUUGAACUACAGAAAUCCUUAAUGGACAAGAUAGAAAAUCUCUCUCGUGAAAAUGAAAUAUUAAGGAGGAAUCAAAAUGAAACGAAACAACUAGUAGAACAUGAAACUGUGAUAGUGAUGAGAAAUCAUAAUGAAGUGAAGAAUUCAAUAGAUCAAAUGACAAACACAUUAGAGAGCCUUACAAACAGAAUGGGUGAGGCAGAAGAGAGAAUAUCGGACUUGGAAGACAGAGAACAGGAAAAUAUACAGUUAAACCAAAGAAAAGAAGAGGAAAUUAGAAAUCUAAAAAAUAUUGUCAGGAAUCUUCAGGAUACUAUUAAAAAACGCAACAUUCGGGUUCUAGGAGUUCCUGAAGGCAUGGAGAGGGAGAAAGGAUUAGAAGGCCUUUUUAGUGAGAUAUUAGCAGAAAAUUUCCCAGGUUUGGAGAAGGACAGAGAAAUCCUAGUACAGGAAGCUCAUAGAACACCCAAUAAAGAUGACGAAAAGAGAUCCUCACCACGACACGUUGUAAUUAAACUCACCACAGUGAAACAUAAAGAAAAGAUCCUAAAAUGUGCAAGAGAGAAACGUCAGAUUACUCUUAGAGGAUCUCCAAUCAGACUCAUAGCUGACUUCUCAUCAGAAACCCUACAAGCUAGGAGGGAAUGGCGAGAUAUAGCCCAGGUACUAAGAGAGAAAAACUGCCAGCCUAGAAUAUUAUAUGCUGCAAAGCUCCCAUUUGUGAAUGAAGGUGAAAUAGAGACCUUUCACAGCAAACAGAAAUUGAAAGAAUUUUUUGCCACUCGUCCAGCCCUGCAAAAGAUGCUUAAAGAUGUGUUACACACAGAAACACAGAAACAUGGUCAUCAAUAUGAAAGAAGGUAAAGGAAGGAAACCUCACAGCAAAAGAUCACAGGAAGUUCAAAGCAUAUAUUGGAACUUAUCUUUGGCAAAUGGCAGGGCAAAGUUACCAUCUAUCAAUAGUCACAUUGAACGUUAAUGGCCUGAACUGUCCAGUUAAAAGACACAGAUUGGCUGAUUGGGUUAAGGAACAAAACCCAUCUAUUUGCUGCUUACAAGAAACACAUCUUUCCAACAAAGAUCCAUACAGACUGAAAGUGAAAGGCUGGAAAAAGAUAUACCAUGCCAACAGAAAUGAAAAAAGAGCGGGUGUAGCCAUCUUAAUAUCAGACAACAUGAACUUUACCACAAAAACUGUUAGGAGAGACAAAGAGGGGCACUAUAUAAUGAUUAAGGGAUCAAUUCAACAGGAAGAUAUAACGAUUAUCAAUGUAUAUGCACCUAAUUACAGGGCACCGGUUUAUUUAAAAGAUUUGUUAAGGGACUUAAAGGGAGACUUAGACCCCAAUACAAUAGUAGUGGGGGACUUCAAUACUCCACUCUCAGAAAUACAGAUCAACAGGACAGAUGAUCAAGGAGACAGUAGAUUUAAAUGACACUAUAGCCCAAAUGGAUCUAACAGAUAUCUACAGAACUUUUCAUCCUACACAGAAAGCAUUUACAUUCUUAUCAGCAGUACAUGGAACCUUCUCUAGGAUUGACCACAUUCUAGGCCAUAGAGCAAGUCUCAGCAAAUUCAAAAGAAUUAGAAUCAUACCAUGCAGCUUCUCAGACCAUAAAGGAAUGAAGUUGGAAAUUAGCAACUCAGGAAUCCCUAGAGCAUAUGCAAACACAUGGAGAUUGAACAACAUGCUCCUGAAUGAACAAUGGGUCACAGAAAAUCAAAAGAGAAAUCAAAAAUUUUCUGGAAGUAAAUGAGGAUAACAGCACAACAUACCAAAACUUAUGGGACGCAGCAAAAGCAGUGUUAAGAGGAAAGUUUAUAUCACUAGGUGCCUACAUCAAGAAAUUGGAAAGGCACCAAAUAGAUGAGCUUCCACUGCAUCUCAAGGAUCUAGAAAAUCUGCAGGAAACCAGACCCAAAUCUAGUAGGAGGAGAGAAAUAAUUAAAAUCAGAGAAGAAAUCAACAGGAUUGAAUCCAAAAAAAAGCUACAAAAAAUCAGCCAAACGAGGAGCUGGUUUUUUGAAAAAAUAAACAAAAUUGACACCCCAUUGGCCCAACUAACUAAAAAAAGAAGAGAAAAGACCCAAAUCAAUAAAAUCAGAGAUGAAAAAGGAAACGUAACAACAGACACCACAGAAAUAAAAAGAAUCAUCAGUAAUUACUACAAGGACUUGUAUGCCAGCAACAGGGAAACCUAUCAGAAAUGGAUAGAUUUCUGGACACAUGCAACCUACCUAAAUUGAACCAGGAAGACAUAGAAGACCUAAACAGACCCAUAACUGAGACAGAAAUUGAAACAGUAAUAAAGGCCCUCCCAACAAAGAAAAGCCCAGGACCAGAUGGAUUCACUGCUGAAUUCUGCCAGACAUUUAAAGAAGAACUGACUCCAAUUCUUCUUAAACUAUUCAGAACAAUCAAAAAAGAGGGAAUCCUCCCAAAUUCUUUCUAUGAAGCCAGCAUCACCUUAAUUCCUAAGCCGGAAAAAGAUGCAGCAUUGAAAGAGAAUUACAGACCAAUAUCCCUGAUGAACAUAGAUGCAAAAAUCCUCAAUAAAAUUCUCGCCAAUAGAAUGCAACUACACAUCAGAAAGAUCAUCCACCCAGACCAAGUGGGAUUUAUCCCUGGUAUGCAGGGAUGGUUUAAUGUGUGCAAGACAAUCAAUGUGAUACACCACAUUAACAUACUGAAGAAGAAAAACCAUAUGAUUAUCUCCAUAGAUGCCGAGAAAGCAUUUGAUAAAAUACAACACCCUUUCAUGAUGAAAACUCUAAGCAAACUGGAUAUGGAAGGAACAUUCCUCAAUACAAUCAGAUUGCUUUAGCUAUUUGAGGUCUUCUGUGUCUCCACAUGAAUUUCAGCAUCAUCAUUUUUUCCAGAUCUGAGAAUAAUGUCUUUGGUAUUUUGAUUGGUAUUGCAUUGAAUCUAUAAAUUGCUUUUGGGAGAAUGGACAUUUUGAUUAUAUUGAUUGUUCCAAUCCAUGAGCAUGGAAGGUUUUUCCAUUUCUUGGUAUCCUCUUCUAUUUCUUUCUUUAAGAUUUCGUAAUUCUCAUCGUAGAGAUCUUUGACUUCCUUCGUUAAGUUUAUUGCAAGGUAUUUGAUUGUUUUUGUAGCUAUUGUGUAUGGGUUUUAUUUUAGCUGUUCUUUCUCAGGCAUGGAUUUGCCUGUGUAUACAAAGGCUGUUGAUUUUUGUGCAUUGAUUUUAUAUCCUGCUACUUUGCCAAACUCUUCUAUGAGUUCCAAUAGUCUCUUAGUAGAAUUCUUUGGAUCCCCUAAAUAAGGAAUCAUAUCAUCUGCAAAGAGGGAUAGUUUGACUUCUUCCUUUCCACUUCGUAUCCAUUUAAUUUCUUUUUCUUGCCUAAUGGCUCUGGCUAAAACUUCCAGAACUUUAUUGAAGAGCAGUGGUGAGAGUGGGCAUCCAUGUCUGGUACUGGAUUUCAGUGGGAAUGCUUCCAAACUUUCCCCAUUUAAUGUGAUGUUGGCCAUGGGUUUGUCAUAAAUUGCCUUGAUUGUGUUGAGGAAUGUUCCUUCUAUACCCAAUUUGCUUAGAGUUUUCAUCAUGAAAGGGUGUUGUAUUUUAUCAAAUGCUUUCUCGGCAUCUAUUGAGAUAAUCAUAUGGUUUUUCUUUUGCAGUUUGUUAAUGUGGUGUAUCACAUUGUUUGAUUAGCAAAUGUUGAACCAUCCUUGCAUACCAUGGAUAAAUCCCACUUGGUCUGGGUGGAUGAUCUUUCUGAUGUGUUGUUGCAUUCUAUUGGUGAGAAUUUUAUUGAGGAUUUUUGCAUCUAUGUUCAUCAGGGAUAUUGGUCUGUUAAUUCCCUUUCUCUGUUGCAUUUUUUUUUCAGAUUUACGAAUUAAGGUGAUGCUAGCUUCAUAGAAAGAUUUUGGGAGGAUUACCUCUCUUUCGAUUGUUCUGAAUAGUUUGAGAAGAAUUGGAGUUAGUUCUUCUUCAAUUGUCUGGAAGAAUUCAGCAGUGAAUCCAUCUGGUCCUGGGCUUUUCUUUGUUGGGUGGGCCUUUACUACUGUUUUAAUUUCUCACUUGUUUAUGUGUCUGUUUAGGUUUUCUAUGUCUUCUUUUUGAUUUCUUCUAUGACUCACGUUUCAUUCGUGAGCAUGUUUUUCAGUCUCCAUGUGUUUGCAUAUGGUCUAGAGUUUCUUGAGUUUUUGAUUUCAAGCUUAUUCCAUUGUGGUCAGAGAAGAUGUAUAGUAUGAUUUUGAUUUUUUUGAGUUUCCGAGACUUGCUUUUUAGCAUAGUCUAUGAUCUUUCCUUGAAAAAGUUCCAUGGCGGUGAGAAGAAUGUGUAUUCUGCAACUGUACAAUAAAAAGUUCUGUAGAUAGCUGUUAGGUCCAUUUGGUCAAUAGUGUCAAUUAACUCUGCUGUUUCCUUGCUGAUUUCCUUUCCCGUUGAUCUGUCCAUUGACUGCUUAAUGUCCCAGUCACACCCUGUGCUCUCUCAUGCAGCCACAGUGUUUUCAAAGUCUCAGCACACAAAGUUCCCACAAUCAUGAGCACCAAGUACUCUGUCAAUUCUUUCUGUCAAUUCUCAGGCAUCUCCUCUUGACUGAUUUUUGGGCACAUAGACACAAGCUGGCCCAGCUGAUACGUCAGUCUGAAUUGCCACCUCCGUUUCUCAGAUAGUUACAGGGUGCCAGUUCCAGGUGGUUAAGGUGAGGGAAAUGUGCCCCUUUUUCUGCCCUCUGGAUUGGAAGGUACACUGACUCCCACAGGGCUCCAAGCUGGACUCACUUCAGGCUCUUCCCACAGCUAGAGGCUUGGGCUUCCACAGUUUGGAUUCACCUUACUCCAAAGCUGGUGCUGAGGCUCUCGGCUGCUGAAGUUUUGAGUUUUGUGUGUCCACACCCUCCAUUUAGAUCCACAGUGUCCCUCUAAUUUGUGUGGAGUUUCCUUUGCAGUUGUGUCCGUAAUUCUUUCCUGAGAUUGCACUCCCUCCACUUCUUCUUAACUGUCUUCCACUAGACUAGAGUGGUAAGCUCCCUCCCAAUUCUUCCAUCUUAGAAUCCAGCAAUCCAUAUUGUUUGUUUUUAAGGACACACACAUGCACGCAAACCAAGUAUUGUAUACUCUGGGUGUGUGUACAUUUGUAUAUAGAAAUUUAGGAAAAUAUAGUAUGUACAAACUCUUAAAUGGUACCCUGAAGUGUUGUGGAAGAGGCAAAUAUUAUGGGCACCAAGAACUUUACAGGAAGAGCUAUAUUUUUAAAAGUAUUUGUAUAUAUUUGUAGAACUAUAAUUACUUUAAAGUAAAACAGCACUAUUUACUUCAUAUCCAUCUGAGAAAAAUGAACAAAAUAUAAUGUGCAGGAUACAAUAUGAAUGCUACUCUAACAGUCUGACCAAGUAGUGUCUCUUUUAGGAUCUAAUAUUUUUUAAGAUUUAUUUAUUUAUUUGGAAGAGUUGCGCAGAGAGAAGGAGAGGCAGAGAGAAAGAGAGAGAGAUUUUCCAUCUGCUGGUUCACUCCCCAGUUGGUCACAACAGCUGGAGCUGUGCUAAUCCGAAGACAGGAGCCAGGAGGUUCCUCCGGGUCUCCCACGUGGGUUCAGGGGCCCAAGGAGUUGAGCCAUCUUCUGCUUUCCCAGGCCACAGCAGAGAGCUGGAUCAGAAGUGGAGCAGCUGGGACUGGAACCGGUGCCCACAUGGGAUGCCGGCACUACAGGCAGCAGCUUUACCCGCUACAUCACAGCUCCCUUCCCUAGGAACUAAUUUUUAAAAGACAUGCUUUAUGCCCCCAUUCAUGUAAAACAACCCUAGAACCAUUCACUUUGUAUCAGUGUAAAAACUUCUGGAAGAAACACAUCAAAAUUAGAGGAUUCAUUAGAGAAAGAAAUGGGAUUUAGCUAGGAACAAAAUGUGGUUUCCUUUUAUCUGUGUUAAAGAUUUGCUAGUAGAAUAUUUUGAAGUGUUACUUUUGCGAUUAAAAACCUGGAAUAAGUUCAUCAAAACUGGGAAUGAAAAACCAUGCAGAAGUGUGUUAUUGUCUUUGAUAUUACUGAACUUCAUCAGCAAAAAUUAAAACAAACAAUGAAACAAUGUAAAUACUUAAGAAUAAGAGAUAUGUCAAAUAACUCUUUAAAGUGACACUCUGUACCUAUUAAAAUUACUCAUUAUGAUGAGUAGAUGAUUAAAUUGCAGGUUGCAAUGGAAAAAAGAAAGAAGAGCAGUGAAAACAUGUGUGUGGAUUCCUACUCCAUUACUUCAAGAAAACAGAUAAGCGCAAACAUCUCUGAGAAAAGCCUGGAAGAUGUGUUGCCGUAAUUUUAAGACGUAUUACCUCCCAGAAUUACAAAUCCAUUGUGUUUUCUUAAUUAUGAUUUACUCUGAGUUCAAAUUUUUGGUGUUUGCUUUAUUUCUAUAAGAACAUUAAAGAGUAGGGAAAACAAAGUGUUUUAGAUUCCACAAAGAAUUCAAUGCAAUAUAGCCUGUGUUGCUGCUGAAAGACAGUCUGUUCACUUUUUGUUUGUUGAAAUUUUUAUUUAGUGGAGCAUUAAGCCUUUGUAAUACAAAUUGAGAAUGUUUUAUCUCAAAAAAUUUCAAAAAAAUAAUGAAGGAAAUAAAAUAUGAUUCAUACAAAUGAUAACACAU